UCAGGCCUAACACAUGCAAGUCGUACGGGAGUUUUUAACUCUAGUGGCGGACGGGUGAGUAACACGUGAGAAUUUGCCUUUAGGAGGGGGAUAACAAUUGGAAACGAAUGCUAAUACCCCAUAUGCUUUUGAGUGAAAUGGAUUUAUCCGCCUAAAGAGAAGCUCGCGGCUGGAUUAGCUUGUUGGUAAGGUAAGAGCUUACCAAGGCGACGAUCAGUAUCUGGUUUGAGAGGACGAUCAGACACACUGGAACUGAGACACGGUCCAGACUCCUACGGGAGGCAGCAGUGG
rnacentral:rRNA from 1 species